CACGUAGGCGGCGCUCUAAGUCAGGUGUGAAAUCCCCCGGCUCAACCGGGGAACUGCACCUGAUACUGGAGCGCUCGAGGACGGUAGGGGUGAGUGGAACUCCAGGUGGAGCGGUGAAAUGCGUAGAUAUCUGGAGGAACACCGGUGGCGAAAGCGGCUCACUGGACCGUCUCUGACGCUGAGGUGCGAAAGCUAGGGUAGUAAACG
rnacentral:rRNA from 1 species